rnacentral:tRNA from 1 species
GGCCCCGUAGCUCAAUGGUAGAGCAGUUGACUCUUAAUCAAUUGGUUGGGGGUUCGAGCCCCUCCGGGGUCA